AUUCGUGCAGACAAAAGAUAAGC
rnacentral:siRNA from 1 species